rnacentral:misc_RNA from 1 species
AACGCAUCUUGCGCUCCUUGGUAUUCCGAGGAGCAUGCCUGUUUGAGUGUCAUUAAAUUCUCAACCAUGUCUUGAUGUACUUGGUACUUCGAGGCAUGGCUUGGAUCUGGGAGCUUGCUGGCGACUUUCGAGACGUCGGCUCUCCUUAAAAGCAUUAGCAAAGGCGAGCGACCGUACAUUAGGGAACGGCCUUCGACGUGAUAAUGAUCGUCGUGGCUGGACCGACUUCGACGUCGCAUGAACUACCUUUGCUUCUAAUCAAUCGUGCGCGCGCGCAGUCUUGUGUUGUGUGCGUGUGCGCUCUUUCUCUUGAACUUGACCUCAAAUCAGGUAGGACUACCCGCUGAACUUAA